rnacentral:lncRNA from 1 species
GGGAGUGGUGAGCUGUUGUUGACCAGAUGAAGACUUGAUGGCUGGACUCAAAGUAACAUCAAGCAAACAGGUCAGAUAGACAACCCCCAUCUUCUCUGUCUACAGGAACUUAGUCCUCUGAAAUCCAGUCACCUAGCUCUUUCCCAGUGGGUGGGCAAUGGCUAUCUUCAGGUCAGCAAUUCUAGCCUUGCAAGGAGUGGUACACAAGAAUAUAUAUAGCCCUGGGAUGGGAAAUGUACUAUUUAACCAACCACUCUGCACAUCAAACGUGAAUUACACUGAUUCUGAAUCACCAGUACCAUUUCAUCAUUUAACUAGCAAAGGUUAAAAGCUAGUCAUUAUAAAAGAAGCCCUGUAAUGAACUUCUCUAUAACCUUGUGUGAUGAGAGAUACAAGAAACUAGCACUUAAUGUGUCCCAGGGAUGCACUGUGUAUUUAGCAUAAAGAUCUAUCUAUUAAUACUUUCUGUCUAGAGUCACCCAUAGCUACCAGAUGUUCAAUUAAGAGAGUUUUGAAUACAGUUUACUAAAGGUACAGAAGAAUAAAAAUCUGGUUUCACCCAA